CCUACGGGAGGCAGCAGUGAGGAAUAUUGGUCAAUGGGCGCGAGCCUGAACCAGCCAAGUCGCGUGAGGGAAGACGGUCCUAUGGAUUGUAAACCUCUUUUGUCGGGGAGCAAAAGACGCCACGCGUGGCGUUCCGAGAGUACCCGAAGAAAAAGCAUCGGCUAACUCCGUGCCAGCAGACGCGGUAAUACGGAGGAUGCGAGCGUUAUCCGGUUUUAUUGGGUUUAAAGGGUGCGCAGGCGGAAGAUCAAGUCAGCGGUAAAAUCGUGAGGCUCAACCUCUUCGAGCCGUUGAAACGGGUGUUCUUGAGUGAGCGAGAAGUAUGCGGAAUGCGGGGUGUAGCGGGGAAAUGCAUAGAUAUCACGCAGAACUCCGAUGGCGAAGGCAGCAUACCGGCGCUCAACUGACGCUGAAGCACGAAAGUGUGGGUAGCGAACAGGAUUAGAUACCCGGGUAGUC
rnacentral:rRNA from 1 species